rnacentral:misc_RNA from 1 species
CGCCUAAUAAGGAUGCUGGAGAGCAGGGCUAUUGAUAAAAAUCGUAGCCCAUCUGAACCUAUCAACUCUAAGCCACUGAUUGUUAAUGCACUUGGGCCUGUGGCAAAUGUUUCUUCUGGCAUUGCUCCGGUACUAGAACGCUCAGAUAGAAUCCCACCUGCUGUGACCAUUAGCAGUCUUGGUACGAUGGACAACAGUAGGCUUGUUGAUGUUAAACCACGGAUUUCAGAUGAAUUAGACAAGAUUAAGAGCUGGAAAAUUCCUGAUAUUGUUGAUCCAUCUCAGUUGAAGGCUCUGCGUUUGCCGGACCCCAUAGCUACUGGCAAGGUUGUGCGAUUGAUUUACACCAACUCUGGCCUAGCUCUGUUGGCCCUUGCCUCCAAUGC